rnacentral:rRNA from 1 species
ACGAACGCUGGCGGCGUGCCUAAUACAUGCAAGUCGAGCGGACGGAUGGGAGCUUGCUCCCAGACCGUCAGCGGCGGACGGGUGAGUAACACGUGGGCAACCUGCCUGUAAGACUGGGAUAACUCCGGGAAACCGGGGCUAAUACCGGAUAACUCUUUCCCUCACAUGAGGGAAAGCUGAAAGAUGGCAUCUCGCUAUCACUUACAGAUGGGCCCGCGGCGCAUUAGCUAGUUGGUGAGGUAACGGCUCACCAAGGCGACGAUGCGUAGCCGACCUGAGAGGGUGAUCGGCCACACUGGGACUGAGACACGGCCCAGACUCCUACGGGAGGCAGCAGUAGGGAAUCUUCCGCAAUGGACGAAAGUCUGACGGAGCAACGCCGCGUGAGUGAUGAAGGUGUUCGGAUCGUAAAACUCUGUUGUCAGGGAAGAACAAGUACCGGAGUAACUGCCGGUACCUUGACGGUACCUGAACAGAAAGCCGCGGCUAACUACGUG